rnacentral:rRNA from 1 species
UACGUAGGGGGCAAGCGUUGUCCGGAAUCAUUGGGCGUAAAGAGCGCGUAGGCGGCCCAGUAAGUCCGCUCUGAAAGUCAGGGGCUCAACCCCUGGAUGCGGGUGGAUACUGCUGGGCUAGAGUCCGGAAGAGGCGAGUGGAAUUCCUGGUGUAGCGGUGAAAUGCGCAGAUAUCAGGAGGAACACCGAUGGCGAAGGCAGCUCGCUGGGACGGUACUGACGCUGAGGCGCGGAAGCGUGGGGAGCAAACAGG